rnacentral:rRNA from 1 species
GAACAUAAGAGUUUGAUCCUGGCUCAGAUUGAACGCUGGCGGCAUGCUUUACACAUGCAAGUCGGACGGCAGCACAGAGAAGCUUGCUUCUCGGGUGGCGAGUGGCGAACGGGUGAGUAACAUAUCGGAACGUACCGAGUAGUGGGGGAUAACUGAUCGAAAGAUCAGCUAAUACCGCAUACGUCUUGAGAGAGAAAGCAGGGGACUUUCGGGCCUUGCGCUAUUCGAGCGGCCGAUAUCUGAUUAGCUGGUUGGUGGGGUAAAGGCCUACCAAGGCGACGAUCAGUAGCGGGUCUGAGAGGAUGAUCCGCCACACUGGGACUGAGACACGGCCCAGACUCCUACGGGAGGCAGCAGUGGGGAAUUUUGGACAAUGGGCGCAAGCCUGAUCCAGCCAUGCCGCGUGUCUGAAGAAGGCCUUCGGGUUGUAAAGGACUUUUGUCAGGGAAGAAAAGGCUGUUGCUAAUAUCAGCGGCUGAUGACGGUACCUGAAGAAUAAGCACCGGCUAACUACGUGCCAGCAGCCGCGGUAAUACGUAGGGUGCGAGCGUUAAUCGGAAUUACUGGGCGUAAAGCGGGCGCAGACGGUUACUUAAGCAGGAUGUGAAAUCCCUGGGCUCAACCCGGGAACUGCGUUCUGAACUGGGUGACUCGAGUGUGUCAGAGGGAGGUAGAAUUCCACGUGUAGCAGUGAAAUGCGUAGAGAUGUGGAGGAAUACCGAUGGCGAAGGCAGCCUCCUGGGACAACACUGACGUUCAUGCCCGAAAGCGUGGGUAGCAAACAGGAUUAGAUACCCUGGUAGUCCACGCCCUAAACGAUGUCAAUUAGCUGUUGGGCAACCUGAUUGCUUGGUAGCGUAGCUAACGCGUGAAAUUGACCGCCUGGGGAGUACGGUCGCAAGAUUAAAACUCAAAGGAAUUGACGGGGACCCGCACAAGCGGUGGAUGAUGUGGAUUAAUUCGAUGCAACGCGAAGAACCUUACCUGGUCUUGACAUGUACGGAAUCCUCU